GAUCAUGGCUCAGAUUGAACGCUGGCGGCAUGCCUUACACAUGCAAGUCGAACGGUAACGCGGGGGCAACCUGGCGACGAGUGGCGAACGGGUGAGUAAUGCAUCGGAACGUGCCUGGUAAUGGGGGAUAACUGCUCGAAAGAGCAGCUAAUACCGCAUACGACCUGAGGGUGAAAGGGGGGGAUCGCAAGACCUCCCGUUAUCAGAGCGGCCGAUGUCGGAUUAGCUAGUUGGUGGGGUAAAGGCCCACCAAGGCGACGAUCCGUAGCUGGUCUGAGAGGACGACCAGCCACACUGGGACUGAGACACGGCCCAGACUCCUACGGGAGGCAGCAGUGGGGAAUUUUGGACAAUGGACGCAAGUCUGAUCCAGCCAUGCCGUGUGCGGGAAGAAGGCCUUCGGGUUGUAAACUGCUUUUGUACGGAACGAAAAGGUCUCUAUUAAUACUAGGGGCUCAUGACGGUACCGUAAGAAUAAGCACCGGCUAACUACGUG
rnacentral:rRNA from 1 species